rnacentral:rRNA from 1 species
UGAGUGGCGGACGGGUGAGUAACGCGUGGGUAACCUGCCUCAUACAGGGGGAUAACAGUUAGAAAUGACUGCUAAUACCGCAUAAGCGCACAAAACCGCAUGGUUUGGUGUGAAAAACUGAGGUGGUAUGAGAUGGACCCGCGUCUGAUUAGCUAGUUGGAGAGGUAACGGCUCACCAAGGCAACGAUCAGUAGCCGACCUGAGAGGGUGACCGGCCACAUUGGGACUGAGACACGGCCCAAACUCCUACGGGAGGCAGCAGUGGGGAAUAUUGCACAAUGGGGGAAACCCUGAUGCAGCAACGCCGCGUGAGUGAAGAAGUAAUUCGUUAUGUAAAGCUCUAUCAGCAGGGAAGAAAAUGACGGUACCUGAGUAAGCAGCCCCGGCUAACUACGUGCCAGCAGCCGCGGUAAUACGUAGGGGGCAAGCGUUAUCCGGAUUUACUGGGUGUAAAGGGAGCGUAGACGGUUAUGCAAGUCUGAAGUGAAAUGCCAGUGCUCAACACUGGAACUGCUUUGGAAGCUGUGUAACUGGAGUGCAGGAGAGGUAAGUGGAAUUCCUAGUGUAGCGGUGAAAUGCGUAGAUAUUAGGAGGAACACCAGUGGCGAAGGCGGCUUACUGGACUGUAACUGACGUUGAGGCUCGAAAGCGUGGGGAGCAAACAGGAUUAGAUACCCUGGUAGUCCA